GGAUGGAAAAUCCCCCUGCUGUGGGAUAAGCUGCCCCGUGUGUGCCUGCCUCAGCAUGCUGAAAGCUCCCACCUCGAUUCCAACCCCUCACCAGCUGCCGGCCAUCAAACCUCACUAGAACUUUGUCUGCUCAGCUCCAGAGCCUGCUCAGCUCUGCCCUGCUCCUGCAGCCCACGAUUCCAUCCCUCUAAUGAGCUGAACGAGUCCAGCGAGGAGCUCCAGGCUCUGUCUAACGCACCGGCCCUGUUGCAGAGCUCAGCCCUGCAGUGGUGCUGCAAGCGGCUCCCCCAUGGCUGCAGCCAGCGGCGAGGGGACAGCAGGGACCCGGCUCCUGCCAGCUGGCACUGCCCUGGCCCUGCUUGGUGGCCUGGUCUACCUGGGCACCCUGUGUGCUGCCUGCAAACGGAAGGGCAGGAAGAAGGUCGCUCCAGACGGGGUGAAGCUCGUGGAUGAGGCCCUGCUCUGCCAGACACAGCUGCGGUCACUCAGCAAGUCGGACACGAAGCUGCACGAGCUGUACCGGGUGAAGGUCAGAGACGUCCAGCGUCCAGCCAGCCUGGAUCUCCCCAGUCCCACGGCCCCUGGGGGUGAAUCCUUGCACAGCUCUGGCCUCCUGCACCGUGAGCUGCCCCAGAUCCCCGUCCCUGAGCCCACAGCCACCUCCCCAGCCCCCGACCAGACCUACUCCAACCUGCUCUUCACCCCGCUGCGGAAACCAGCGCCAGACGCUGUCUAUGAGUGCCUGGCAGUGGGGGAGGAGGGCACCCCGGUGCCCCCCAUGCCAGCUGGCACCCAGGUAUCCCCUCCACGGGCUGUGCAUGGGGCAGCUGAUUACGCCUGUGUCCACAAAGUGAAGAAGGUGGUGUCGGUGGAGGUGCAGGAUGGGGCUGUGGCAGGACCCUCUGGAGCACAGCACUGCUGGGAUGGUGCAGGCAGUGCCCCUCAUGCCAAGCUGGAGGAGAUGUACUCGACGGUGUGCAAAGCCACCAAGAAGAAAUCCCCAGUCCCUGCAUCAACCCCGAGGGCUGUGAAGGAGGGGGGGUCUGAGUGGCCGCCCCCCUGCCAGCAGGAGGGGGCCCCAGCAGCCCCAGGUCCCCCUGACCCCUGUUACGAGUCCAUCAAUGACAGAGCAUGGCCUGCUCAGGCCCAUGGCCCUGACCCUGACUAUGAGGCUGUGGACAUUAACUGGAAGAAGGCAGCAAAACGGGACAAGCCAGGGAAGCCCUGUGUCCCCGAGAACCUCUAUGAGAGUGUGGUGGAUGUCUGGGCAGGGGGGUCCCGGAAAGCCUCUGCCCGGACAGCAGCCAAUGGGCUGGAGGUUUACAUCACCAACCUAUAGCCCCCCAGGAGCAGGGGCAGUGCCAUAGGGGGGUCCCACCUGGCUGGACACCACUGGGUGCCAAAGGGACAGGUGCCAGCAGCUCUGUGCCCACCAGAGCCCUGUGCCCUGCACUCACUUUCUGUAUAUAUUUUCUGUUACUUUUCUUCGAGUGUCCUUGUCCGAUCCCAGCCCAGCUGGUGCCAGCAGUGGUGGGAUGUCCCAGGAUGGACAGUUUGGGGGUGCUGGCUGGGACCCCAGUGAGACAGGGCUGGCACUGGCAUCAAGAUGGGAACAGGGUGGGGACCAGACACGUUUUGGGGCAGGGGGGUGGCAGGGCUGCAGCCAGCCCCAUGCCUUGGGCUGCAGGAGCAGACCCCCAUCAGGAGGUUUCUGCCAUGCCUGAGGGUCUCUGCCCUCCUCACACUGCCUGGGGGAGAGCAGGGCCCCCUCCAGCCCCCAAGAAACCCUGAGAAGCUUUGCCCCUGUCACAGAACGUCCCUUGUUACGGGGAGAUGGAGCUAGUCCCAUGCCUGCAUGGAAUCAUAGAAUAUCCUGAGUUGGAAAGGAUCCAGAAGGGAUUAGUGAGUCCAUCUCCUCAACCUGCACAGGACUACGCAGAAAUUUCCCGGGUGUGGGCUGUGGGGUCUGCUCCAUCCUCCAUUCCCACCCUUUCAGACCCAUGCAAGGUGUCUCCAGGGAUUACCAUUAAAAGGCUGAGAGAAGGUUUACACUCUUCAACUGUGUCUAAAUCCCUGGUUCUGGGGGCUCUUGCUGCUG
ensembl:lncRNA Lck interacting transmembrane adaptor 1